GACGAGCCGUGCGAACGUUGUUCGGAAUUACUGGGCGUAAAGGGCUCGUAGGCGGCCAACUAAGUCAGACGUGAAAUCCCUCGGCUUAACCGGGGAACUGCGUCUGAUACUGGAUGGCUUGAGUUCGGGAGAGGGAUGCGGAAUUCCAGGUGUAGCGGUGAAAUGCGUAGAUAUCUGGAGGAACACCGGUGGCGAAGGCGGCAUCCUGGACCGAUACUGACGCUGAGGAGCGAAAGCCAGGGGAGCAAACGGG
rnacentral:rRNA from 1 species